rfam:Mesocricetus auratus contig039391, whole genome shotgun sequence.
UUUUCAUGGUCUGUCACCCUGAAUGUGCCCAAUCUCCUCUGAUCUCAAAAGCUAAGCAGGGUCAGGCCUAGUUAGUACUUGGAUGGGAGAUUGUAUCAUCUAAAUAUGAUAGGAAAGCUAUGUCUAUGAAAUU